ensembl:lncRNA
CCUUUGCUUGUGGUCAUGUCUCUGUAACUCUGUUGGUUAGUUGUUUAUAUGCCGUAUAUGGGCUUAAAAUGCAGACUAUGAAAUGGACAGGAAGUGAGGGUGCUAAACUGUUGCUCUGCAUUCCACAGGACUAGGGUGGUAGUAUAAAUUGUGCAGCAUAAAAAAAAGGAGCUGCACAGAGAAAUCAGGGUUCUUUUCCCUUGGCCGUUUUUGUUUUACUUUUUGUUCCUUAUUUGGUGAUUUUCAUCUGCAAGCAGAUUGAAUCUAAAAAGACAUCUUUACCAUCUGGUGCUUCAAACGAACAGCUUAUGUUCACCGCAGAUUAACCAACCAACCAGUCCACAGUCAAGUCACAAAGCUAGGGGCUCAUGAAGGUUCAAUGCGCCUGUUUGCUGCUGCUGCUGCUCUCUGCUGCUGUGCUCUCACAAACUUAUAAUGAUUUCAAAAGGAAACACAUCCUUCCAAAAAAGGGCUCUCAUGACUGUAAUAACAUGAUGAUAAAUGUCAAUGACAUAAAUCAGUGUAAGUCAAUAAAUACUUUCAUCAAAGAUAAGGGGAACUUAGUGCUACACAAAGCCACUACUAUCAAAAAUGGGUUUGUCACCCACAAAUUUGAUGUCAUUGACUGCAUAAUGAUAAGCAGCAAACCUUGUUUAUACCAAAUGCUAACACUCAGAAAAAACAAAAGGAUAAAAUGUGAAAAUGGCCUACCUGUACACCUUGAGGCCUGAAGUAUCAGGUUUCAAUGAUGCCUUAAACGGUUCUCUUUCUUUCUGUUUCUUUAUCAGUUAUAUAUUUUAUUGUGUGAUGCUGAAUCUGAGUAAAUAAGUCACAAAAAGAGUCCCAUCAGUCAGACUCUGCCCAAACUUUGCCUGUGCCACAAACCUUUAAUGUUGACCUUCCUUUAUAAACAUUUACAUUUGAUUUAAUAAAGGGUUUCUAAAACCACAAAAUUAACAGAUAGAAAGUAUGCCAUUGUUUGAAAUGUGUCUAUGAGGAAGCAAUAAGUUAAUAAAAAUGUGAAUUUGAACAUGUACUAUCUCAAGUAUAUCAUAAAAUAGUUUGAAAUGCUUAAUCAUUGUAGGGUCUGUGAUUUGGUGCUAUAUAUAUAAAAUGUAAUUCAAUUUAAUGCUGUUUUAAAUAGACAGUAGAAAUUCCUGAUUAUGUGUGUGUUGCUUGUUGAAGCACUUUGAGUUUGUUGAUACUUGCUGAAGACCAUCUCUGAAGAUGUCCUUUGGAUCAGUUACUAUCCUUACAUGACAUUAUCAUGUAUUAUGUGUGUUUUAACAGUUCUGAGAACAUGAUUGUGAUUGGCAGUCACAAUCAAAACUACUGUAACAACAUGUAUUGAUAAGUUAACAUUUGUAUGCCUUCACUUUUUGAUCAUCUGGAGAUCAUUUAACUAAAAUAAAAAUGUGCAAUCUGACAAACCAGGCUCUCUUGAUUUGUCUCUUACAUUUUU